AUUGAACGCUGGCGGCAGGCUUAACACAUGCAAGUCGAACGAGUGGCGGACGGGUGAGUAAUGCUUGGGAAUCUGGCUUAUGGAGGGGGAUAACGACGGGAAACUGUCGCUAAUACCGCGUACCAUAGGAUGAGCCCAAGUGGGAUUAGGUAGUUGGUGGGGUAAUGGCCUACCAAGCCGACGAUCUCUAGCUGGUCUGAGAGGAUGACCAGCCACACCGGGACUGAGACACGGCCCGGAAUCCUGAGGAAGGCAGCAGUGGGGAAUAUGGCGCAAUGGGGGCAACAGGACGCAGCCAUGCCGCGUUAUUGAAGAAGUCGUUCGGGUUGUAAAGCUCUUUGGGUGACGAGGCGUUACUCCCAGAAGAAGUACCGGCUAACUCCGUGCCAGCAGCCGCGGUAAUAC
rnacentral:rRNA from 1 species